UUGCGGAUUUGUGUAUAAUUAUUUGGGCUGAAUCUUGGCCCGUACAGUGCUUUGAUUCUCCAACUGUAGCCGCCGUAAAAACUCAGGGUUCAUCUUCUCCUGUUAAAUCUUAUUAGUUCUACCAUCCAUGGAAGUUAAUAAGAGUAUGUAUCGUCGCAUCUAUUCUGGUACGUCUGUUUCGGUAUUGAUUCAUCUCAUUCAAUGAUUCUUACCCCUCUUCCAAGGGGUGCAUCUACACCUAUAAAAUGGGCGACGCACCAAAAAGUUGGCUUGGAGAGAAGCCAAUUCUAUCAAUUUCAUUGUUUUUCCAGUAGCUCAGAUAAGAAGAACACAUGGAUCUGAACAAAAAUUUCCAUGGCCACCGCUUCUGUCAUUAUGACUGAGUGAACGUCUCCACCUUAUCUGUGACACUUUACACACCUUCCACCUACAGCUUCGCCUCCUUCGAUAUCGUUUCAUCAUAGUGGUUGCUCAUUGAACACAACAGCAACAUACACCGAUAACAUUCUGUCAGGGAGACAGAUUAAUGGCUCUCAUUGGUGAGGUGGAUGAGACGAAGAUAAAGGUUGCUUCAAGGUGUGAAUGUUUUCUGAACUGAUCUGUUUUUAAAAUCUAUUAUUCAGAAAAUAUGAUUUUUCCCUGGGAUGUUGAUACGAUAGAAUUUUCUUAUCUUGCAUUAUUUCCUAUUUUCAGUAAUAUGUACCACGGUUUAAUAUUAAUCAACUAUUUUUCAUGGAAUGUUGUUCAAUAUAUGCUAAUUUGUUUAUGGGUUUGCA